rnacentral:tRNA from 1 species
GAGGGUGUAGUUCAGUGGUAGAGCACAUGCUUAGCAUGCAUGAGGUCCAGGGUUCAAUCCCCAGUACCGCCA